GACGAACGCUGGCGGCGCGCUUAACACAUGCAAGUCGAGCGAAUCGGCGGACGGGUGAGUAACACGUGAGUAACCUGCCUUAGACAUUGGGAUAGCCUCGGGAAACCGGGAUUAAUACCAAAUGGUCUAAGAUGGACUCGCGUCCCAUUAGCUAGUUGGGAGGUACCGGCCCACCAAGGCGACGAUGGGUAGCCGGCCUGAGAGGGGGAACGGCAACAUUGGAACUGAGAAACGGUCCAAACUCUACGGGAGGCAGCAGUGGGGAAUAUUGCACAAUGGAGGGAACUCUGAUGCAGCGACGCCGCGUGAACGAAGAAGGCUUUCGAGUCGUAAAGUUCUUUUAUAUGGGAAGCGGUACCAUAAGAAAAAGCCCCGGCUAACUACGUGCCAGCAGCCGCGGUAAUAC
rnacentral:rRNA from 1 species